AACGUAGGACACAAGCGUUAUCCGGAGUUACUGGGCGUAAAGGGCGUGUAGGCGGACCUAUAAGUCUAUUCUGAAAGCUCCUGGCUAAACUGGGAGAGGCGAAUGGAGACUGUAGAUCUAGAGUGAGGAAGAGGAAAGUGGAAUUCCGCGUGUAGUGGUGAAAUGCGUAGAGAUGCGGAGGAACACCAGUGGCGGAAGGCGGGUCUCUGGGCCGAUACUGACGCUGAGG
rnacentral:rRNA from 1 species